rnacentral:rRNA from 1 species
GAUGAACGCUGGCGGCGUGCUUAACACAUGCAAGUCGAACGAUGAGGCCCAGCUUGCUGGGUGGAUUAGUGGCGAACGGGUGAGUAACACGUGAGUAACCUGCCCUUAACUCUGGGAUAAGCCUGGGAAACUGGGUCUAAUACCGGAUAGGAGCGUCCACCGCAUGGUGGGUGUUGGAAAGAUUUAUCGGUUUUGGAUGGACUCGCGGCCUAUCAGCUUGUUGGUGAGGUAAUGGCUCACCAAGGCGACGACGGGUAGCCGGCCUGAGAGGAUGACCGGCCACACUGGGACUGAGACACGGCCCAGACUCCUACGGGAGGCAGCAGUGGGGAAUAUUGCACAAUGGGCGCAAGCCUGAUGCAGCGACGCCGCGUGAGGGAUGACGGCCUUCGGGUUGUAAACCUCUUUCAGUAGGGAAGAAGCGAAAGUGACGGUACCUGCAGAAGAAGCACCGGCUAACUACGUG